CGUAGGUGGCGAGCGUUGUCCGGAUUUACUGGGCGUAAAGGGAGCGUAGGCGGUCUUUUAAGUGGGGUGUGAAAUCCCUGGGCUUAACCCAGGAAUUGCAUUCCAUACUGGAAGACUAGAGUGCAGGAGAGGAAAGUGGAAUUCCAAGUGUAGCGGUGAAAUGCGUAGAGAUUUGGAGGAACACCAGUGGCGAAGGCGACUUUCUGGACUGUAACUGACGCUGAGGCUCGAGAGCGUGGGGAGCAAACAGGAUUAGAUACCCUGGUAGUCCACGCUGUAAACGAUGAAUACUAGGUGUAGGGGGCGAAGCCCUCUGUGCCGCAGUUAACACAUUAAGUAUUCCGCCUGGGGAGUACGAUCGCAAGAUUA
rnacentral:rRNA from 1 species